rnacentral:rRNA from 1 species
UUGGAGGGCAAGUCUGGUGCCAGCAGCCGCGGUAAUUCCAGCUCCAAUAGCGUAUAUUAAAGCUGUUGCAGUUAAAAAGCUCGUAGUUGAAUUUCGGGAUCAGAGUGUCGGUCGUGCCUCGGUACGCACUGGUAUUAUUGGUUCCUACCUUCUGAAGAACCGCGAUGUCAUUAAUUUGGCGUCGUGGGGAAUCAGGACUGUUACUUUGAAAAAAUUAGAGUGUUUAAAGCAGGCUUACGCUUGAAUACAUUGGCAUGGAAUAAUGAAAUAGGACGUAUGAUUCUAUUUUGUUGGUUUCUAGGAUUGACGUAAUGAUUAAUAGGGAUAGUUGGGGGCAUUAGUAUUCAAUUGUCAGAGGUGAAAUUCUUGGAUUUAUUGAAGACUAACUACUGCGAAAGCAUUUGCCAAGGAUGUUUUCAUUAAUCAAGAACGAAAGUUAGGGGAUCGAAGACGAUCAGAUACCGUCGUAGUUUUAACCAUAAACUAUGCCGACUAGGGAUCGGAUGAUGUUAAUUUUUUAAUGACUCAUUCGGCGCCUUACGGGAAAC